UUCUUUACAGGCUAGUUCAUUGGGCUAAUCCUCUUGCCGCAAGUUUGGUUCCUGAAAGAUACUCUGCAGUUAGCUGAUGAACACUCUGGAUUCAUCCUGAUGACCAUGCACGUAUGAAAGAACAGAAGAAAUAAGAUUUCGCAGGAGCAAGAGUAAGAGGAAAUGCAGCAAACUGCCAGCAUAAACCAACAGCAACAGGUUCCAAUGAUCUGUUAUCAAAGGAAGAUAUGCUAAAAACGCCUCAAAUACACAGACAAACAUUUCUUCAUGCAAAACUUACCUGAUAACUGAGAGAACACAAGGAGCUUCGGCAAUAGCCAAUCUGAACCAAGAAACCACGACCACUAAAAUUCAAUUCCUCAGGACAUGCUCAUGGCCAUGUGAAGGGAUGCUAGAACCUGAAGCCCUGAGCUGUGCGCCCUUUUGGCAACGGUAACGGAAGGAAUCAGAAGCCUUUCUUGCACAAGCCUCGGUCAGUACUCAGUGCUAGCUUUUCCUCUCUCUCUCUCUCUUUCCUCUUCUGUUUUCUGUUAUUCCUAACUCUCUUCUCCCCCAGCUUUGAAGAAUGGAGGGAAGGCAACACUAGCUAGCUUGGUAAGGCAGCCAACACCACAUGGCAUGCACAAGCAAAAUGGACUUUCGGUCAGUGUGGCGACCCCCCACGCCACACUUUUCCCCACAAGCAGAAAAAAGUGGCAGGCAAUGGCUAAGCUGCAGGCAAAAGCUGAUGCGAGCCUUUGAUAAUUGCGUGUGUUGAGCCUGUACCAAUGAUAGAAUCUCGUGGGUCUUUUUGAGGUGUUUCUAGUAGGUGCCCGGAUAUGACAUGAAAGAAUCAGAUGAUGAGUAUAAAGAUAUUGGUUUUGCAUUUGGGGCUGAUAUCUACCGUUUUGUUGGUUCUGCAGUUUGCUAGCGAAGGCCAGGAAAAGGGCAGCGUCUUGUCAAGUAUUGAGAUGGUGAUGGAAUGGAGAUUUUCUUAGCUACGGAUAGAGUUGUCCACCAACAGCUAACAGUGGCAUAUCAAGGUUUUGUCGAUUUGCUUAUAAGGAGUGCAAAUAACAAUCGCAACUGGGGAACAUCCAGAGUGCUUGCCAUUUCCAAGACGUUUCUUUUCAGUUUUCCGUUCAAUUAUAUUGAGAGUGGAAUUAUGCAGAGACCGGAUUCAAAUUGAGCUUUCAUUAUCUAAAAGAAUAGUUAAGAGUCGAAUUUUACUAUAUACUGUCUAUUUAGUUUAAAAUAAAUGUUUUGGGCAAGACGAGUUGGGGAAAGCUGCUUGCUUCACAAAUGAGCUGUGGACCUAGCAAUUUCAGUGGCGUAUAAACAAGUCACUUGCCUGGGGUGCAC
rnacentral:lncRNA from 1 species